rnacentral:rRNA from 1 species
CAAGUCGAGCGGACAGAUGGGAGCUUGCUCCCUGAUGUUAGCGGCGGACGGGUGAGUAACACGUGGGUAACCUGCCUGUAAGACUGGGAUAACUCCGGGAAACCGGGGCUAAUACCGGAUGGUUGUUUGAACCGCAUGGUUCAGACAUAAAAGGUGGCUUCGGCUACCACUUACAGAUGGACCCGCGGCGCAUUAGCUAGUUGGUGAGGUAACGGCUCACCAAGGCGACGAUGCGUAGCCGACCUGAGAGGGUGAUCGGCCACACUGGGACUGAGACACGGCCCAGACUCCUACGGGAGGCAGCAGUAGGGAAUCUUCCGCAAUGGACGAAAGUCUGACGGAGCAACGCCGCGUGAGUGAUGAAGGUUUUCGGAUCGUAAAGCUCUGUUGUUAGGGAAGAACAAGUGCCGUUCAAAUAGGGCGGCACCUUGACGGUACCUAACCAGAAAGCCACGGCUAACUACGUGCCAGCAGCCGCGGUAAUACGUAGGUGGCAAGCGUUGUCCGGAAUUAUUGGGCGUAAAGGGCUCGCAGGCGGUUUCUUAAGUCUGAUGUGAAAGCCCCCGGCUCAACCGGGGAGGGUCAUUGGAAACUGGGGAACUUGAGUGCAGAAGAGGAGAGUGGAAUUCCACGUGUAGCGGUGAAAUGCGUAGAGAUGUGGAGGAACACCAGUGGCGAAGGCGACUCUCUGGUCUGUAACUGACGC